rnacentral:rRNA from 1 species
UACGUAGGUGGCAAGCGUUGUCCGGAUUUACUGGGCGUAAAGGGAGCGUAGGCGGAUACUUAAGUGGGAUGUGAAAUACCUGGGCUUAACUUGGGUGCUGCAUUCCAAACUGGGUGUCUAAAGUGUUGGAGAGGAAAGUGGAAUUCCUAGUGUAGCGGUGAAAUGCGUAGAGAUUAGGAAGAACACCAGUGGCGAAGGCGACUUUCUGGACAAUAACUGACGCUGAGGCUCGAAAGCGUGGGGAGCAAACAGGAUUAGAUACCCUGGUAGUCCACGCCGUAAACGAUGGGUACUAGGUGUAGGAGGUAUCGACUCCUCCUGUGCCGCAGUUAAAGCAAUAAGUACCCCGCCUGGGGAGUACGGUCGCAAGAUUGAA